rnacentral:rRNA from 1 species
AAGGAUUCCCCUAGUAACUGCGAGUGAAGCGGGAAAAGCUCAAAUUUAAAAUCUGGUAGUUUCACUGCCCGAGUUGUAAACUAGAGAAGCGUUAUCCGCGCUGGACCGUGUAUAAGUCUCCUGGAAUGGAGCGUCAUAGAGGGUGAGAAUCCCGUCUUUGACACGGACUACCAGGGCUUUGUGAUGCGCUCUCAAAGAGUCGAGUUGUUUGGGAAUGCAGCUCUAAAUGGGUGGUAAAUUCCAUCUAAAGCUAAAUAUUGGCGAGAGACCGAUAGCGAACAAGUACCGUGAGGGAAAGAUGAAAAGAACUUUGGAAAGAGAGUUAAACAGUACGUGAAAUUGUUGAAAGGGAAACGCUUGAAGUCAGUCGCGUCGGCUAGGAAUCAGCCUUGCUUUUGCUUGGUGUACUUUCUAGUCGACGGGUCAGCAUCAGUUUUGAUCGGUGGAAAAAGGCCAGCGGAAUGUGGCACCUUCGGGUGUGUUAUAGCUGCUGGUUGUAUACAUCGGUUGGGACUGAGGAACUAGCACUCUGUGUUUUAGAUGCUGGCAUAAUGGCUUUAAUCGACCCGUCUUGAAACACGGACCAAGGAGUCUAACAUGCCUGCGAGUGUUUGGGUGGAAAACCCGAGCGCGUAAUGAAAGUGAAAGUUGAGAUCCCUGUCGUGGGGAGCAUCGACGCCCGGACCAGACCUUUUGUGACGGAUCCGCGGUAGAGCAUGUAUGUUGGGACCCGAAAGAUGGUGAACUAUGCCUGAAUAGGGUGAAGCCAGAGGAAACUCUGGUGGAGGCUCGUAGCGAUUCUGACGUGCAAAUCGAUCGUCAAAUUUGGGUAUAGGGGCGAAAGACUAAUCGAACCAUCUA